rnacentral:rRNA from 1 species
GUGUCAGCAGCCGCGGUAAGACGAACCGUGCGAACGUUGUUCGGAUUCACUGGGCUUAAAGGGCGCGUAGGCGGAUUCGUAAGUUCGGGGUGAAAUCCUUCGGCUCAACCGGAGAAGUGCCUCGGAUACUGCGAGUCUCGAGGGAGGUAGGGGCCGCGGGAACUUCCGGUGGAGCGGUGAAAUGCGUUGAUAUCGGAAGGAACGCCGGUGGCGAAAGCGCGCGGCUGGUCCUCUUCUGACGCUGAGGCGCGAAAGCUAGGGGAGCAAACGGGAUUAGAUACCCCUGUAGUCC